CGUAUGGCGACCGGCGCACGGGUGAGUAACGCGUAUGCAACCUGCCCGAUACCGGGGUAUAGCCCAUGGAAACGUGGAUUAACACCCCAUAGUACUUUUAUCCUGCAUGGGAUGUGAGUUAAAUGUUCAAGGUAUCGGAUGGGCAUGCGUCCUAUUAGUUAGUUGGCGGGGUAACAGCCCACCAAGACGAUGAUAGGUAGGGGUUCUGAGAGGAAGGUCCCCCACAUUGGAACUGAGACACGGUCCAA
rnacentral:rRNA from 1 species